rnacentral:lncRNA from 1 species
AAGUUUGAGCUAUGCUCAAAUUUGGUUGGUAUGACAAUCUAGUUUCAAAAGAUUGUUUACAACCGAUGAUCUAAUGAUGAGGAGUUUAUUGAAGUGAAACUUCGUUUUUGUUACAAGAGUAAAUUAUGUCUCAAGGUGGAGGUUGUUGAUGCGAGACAAAAUUUACUACUCACUAUUCACGCGUUACUAUUCACAGUACUGUUCAUGUGAAGAAG